rnacentral:lncRNA from 1 species
UUAAAUAAAGUUUUACCAAAUGAAAUCAUAAAUAUGGAAAUAAUUUGAGGAGUUACUUACAUGGGGCGUGAUGUGGUAAUUAUAAUAAGGUCACGCGUACCAUGUGUUGAUCGCUUACUCUGGCCAAGUAAGUAGUGAACACAUGAUAGCAUGAGCUUCUUAUAAUGAGCGCAGUUAUGUCCGAUGUAGUAAGGUCAAGAUGAAUGAAAAUUUAAAGGAUCCUUAGGGUCAAGAAAUCUUAUGGGCAUACUCGUAUAAAUGGUUUUCGCGGGAACCAUAAAAACGACGUAUGGCGCACAUAGAAAUAAAUGACCCAAGGAAAUUCGUGACAUAAGUCAUUUCGGACGAAACAACCAUGGUAGACAAAAAGGGCAUUGUAAAACCAAAGUAUAAAUGACCCGCGGGGUCAUAGAAACAAAGGUAUUGCCCACAUGGGAAAAACGAUCAAAGUCGUUGACUUUGGUCGUAGUAAAGAAAUGAUGAUGAUGAUGAUAAUCAUCAUUCAUAGUUUAUAAGACUGUCAAGGAUGGUCGAAUAAAGAAUAAAGGUUUGGUUGAAUAAAAGCGAUGGAUUUCGCUAAGACAACCAAACAAAUUAAAACGAAAUCUUAAUGUAUACCGGAAUGCUUGCACUAAUAAUGACUUCGGUAAAGUACCCGGUUGAUGG